UCUUCUUCUGCACCGAGCAUCUUCCUUCUUCUUCUUUUCCUUUCUUUAUUCUUUUAUCCUCCUAUUUCUCGCCGAUCACAGACACUCAGUGAGACACAGAGAGUGGGAGCCAGAGAGUGAGAGAAGAGAGAAGCAAAGAUUGAGAGAGGGAGAGAAGCAGAAAUCGGGAGACAGAGACGGAGAGUCCGAGUGAGUGAGAGUGAGAGAUGAGAUCGAGAGGGAGAUCGGGUCAGAGAGAGAUCCGACCGUCCUGAUGAACUGACCUUUAACCAGUGAAGUCCGGCGCGAUCUCCGGCGAUUGGGGGGCUGUUUCCGGCAGUAUCUUUCCGACGGCACAGUGACGACUCCGGAAGUGUUCUUCCGGUAAUUUCAGUAGAUUUUCUGUAGAAAAUCCCUAGAUGAUGACUUGAGAGACUGCAUAAAUUGGCUGUUAAUAGACAAAGACCAGAGCUCAAGAGGUUUUAUAGCUAAGGACGCAUAGUUUAUAUUUUGUUUGUAGUUUUCUGUGUUUAUAACAUUUCAUGUUGAUAAGAUUGCUAAUAAUUUCUAUGUAUUCUUUUGUGUCUUUAUGGACACCUGUUUCCUUGUAUUUGUUAUAAGUAUUUUCUAAUGAAUAUCUAGAGGUAUUUAAUUUAAAAGCUCUGAUGUGUUAUUUAAUCCAAGCCUGUUGGAUAAAUUAUAUAUUCCGCUGCGAGAGUUAUCUCUGAUGUAGUAGCGUCACGUGGGAACCGGAGGUUUCUGCUUACGAAU